UACGGAGGGUGCAAGCGUUAUCCGGAUUCACUGGGUUUAAAGGGUGUGUAGGCGGGCUGUUAAGUCAGUGGUGGAAUCUCCGGGCUCAACCCGGAAACUGCCAUUGAUACUAUCAGUCUUGAAUCUUGUUGAGGUAGGCGGAAUAUAUCAUGUAGCGGUGAAAUGCUUAGAUAUGAUAUAGAACACCGAUUGCGAAGGCAGCUUACUAAACAAGCAUUGACGCUGAGGCACGAAAGCGUGGGGAUCAAACAGG
rnacentral:rRNA from 1 species